ensembl:lncRNA
GGAGAACGGAGAGCUGUUUUGUAACAAAUGCCAGAGUGCUACCCAUGGCUGGAACUUUCUGAUAAUUCAGGGUGGAGCAAAUCACAUCAGUUCAUUGCAAACCUGCCGGGAUGCUAAAAGGUUCAUCAGCCCCACACAGCUGGGUCCCUCCCUGCUGAGCUGCAGCUGAGCCUUUUUAAAGACCAACGAAGGGUGGGAUGGGUUUCCCCAACAGCUCUGGCUGCAGGCAGCUUGGUGUGCAGUGAGUUAUUUUAGGGUCUCAUCCUUCCCUUGUGUGCAUAGCUCUUGGCAAGGUGGGCUCAGUGCUGGUCUGUGGCUGUUCAACUGGUGGCUCAAAGGCAAGUAUGAGCUGGAGCUGGUACCCACUCGGCUCCCAACGGGGCUGUGCAUGCUUGGGUGCCCUGACCGACCCUGCCGGGUGCUGUGUAAAUACACAAUUAAAAGAAAGAGCGGUCUUUCUCCAGAGAUCUCCUGGCCUCACAUUAGGGAGGCUGAAGUGCUGUCAGUAAAUGACACCCUAUCACUGGGAGAGGCACAAACAAGCGUGUGUGGGGGAGCAGCACGAGGAGGAGCUGAGGGACCUUCCCUGUGGCCAGCAGCACCUGGGCGCUGUGCAGGCAGAGCAGCCCUGCCUCCCACAGAGCCAGGCCAGGCAGAGAGCAACGGGCUGGCCCCCGAGAUGGGGUCCACUUCUGUGUGCAAGCACUGGUCUGGCCAUAAGGAUCAUUUGGGCCCCCAGCCCUCAAGGCUCCGCCACUUUGGAUUUCUAAUCACGGCCAGUGGAUGCUGGAAUUAACGAUCUGAUCCAAUCGACACCCAUGAAUCUGUAACGAGACUCCGCUUUAGAUUAAUCAGUCAUUAGGCCAAAAUGCCAACACAGUGCCUGAAAACUAUUUGUCUUUACUGCCACCCGUUCUUUUUAUUUGUUUCAUUUUAAGUGACUCCAAAGGGCUUGGCUCUUCCCCUUUUGCUCCUCGGGAGAGGGAGCAGUUUCACUGCCAUGAGCACCAGCCCCAGGUGCUGACCCUCUCCUGUCCCUUACGAGCUGCCUUGGAUGCCUCUGGCUCCGCUUCUCUGCAAAUCUGCUAAUUUGGCACAGAAAAAGAGGAAAGUCAAACUGGACCAUAAACGCAACAACCGGGGGUUGUUAUGGGAGUGGGCACACGCCCUUGCCGGUACGAGCGCUGCCGGAGGGUGCCAAGGCUUCUUCUCCAGCCCUGGCUUGUGUUUUGCCAGUCCCCGAGUGUGGGGGAUGCUGCGCAGCCAUGGGAUCAGUGGGGAUCUGCCCUCAGAGACGAUGGCAGUGCCAGGCGCACAGCCUGGGCUGGGGUGCAGCGCAGACGCAGUGGGUGCUGCUUCAGAGGUAAGGGUGAGAGCAGCUGGGGUCCGGUUUUGGUGACCUCAUUCCUGCAAAGGAUAUUGGAAAACAGUAAGAAGAUCAGAAACAGGCUGAGAUAUGCAGCAGGGCUGAGCUGCAAGACUUGCUUACCGUGAGAAAUUUAAGGAUCCCAAUCAGCUGAUCAAAGGAGAGGAGACCUGAGCUGCACCAGGGGAAGAUAUCUGAUAGUGGAGGCUUCUCCAGCUUAGCAGGUAAAGCAGGAUGCCACAGCUGGAGGUUUCAAAGGAGGAAAAAAAAAAUUGAAUUCAGGCACAAAGAUUUAUUUGGGAGAGGAUUUAAUCACUGCAGCAAGAGGAUGCUGUGGGUCCUUCAGGUAUGGGGUCCUUAAAUUUGUGGGUGUCAUUCUGAUGCUAAAGCCUAAUUUUCUCCAUGUGCUAAAGGAACUGAUGGGGAGUUUUCUCUGCCACGUGCAAUGCAGUGCUAAUGCCUGUGGCCUCCUCUGGCUCUGAGACAUGAAUAAAACAAAACUAGUUCCCAGCUCUUUCACACACACCUCUUUGGAGAUGGAGGGGGUAGCAGCAGGGUUUUCAGUGUGUCUCCGUGGCUCAGCCUGCUCCUACCUCCAUCCCAGUACCCUCCUGCCAGAGAGCCGGGUAAAUCUGAUAAGGCACCUGGGGUUAGACUUUAUCCCACAUGAGUAAUCUCUGAAGCAUACCUUGUUUUUAGCCAGACCUGUUCCUUUUGCUGAGGAGCUGCAAAUGAACCUCGCUCGGCUCGUGGAGAAUAGCAGCUGCGCUGUAAAGCAUGUUACUGGCAGCACCAUGGCGGGCUGGGAGGGCACGGGGGUUGUGCCGGGGAGAAAGCCCUUCUGUGCCCACUGCCUUUUAGAGAGCAGCAGGAAAGCAGAGGGCAACGCACAGCCUAGGCUGGAUCCCUGUCACCGGUUUGGCUGCCUAAUGCUGAGCAUGUUUUACUGCUGCUUUUCCCUGUCUGCUUCAAGAAAGGGUGUCUGCAGCUGUGCGGGAGGCUAAGCAUCCUUCAGGAGUGGGGCUGCAGGCAGGGGGGCAGGUGGGUGCUCCCUCACUGGGCUAUCCUGGUGCUCCCCGGGCUGCUCCAUGCCCAGCACCGUGGUGAGGCAGUGCCAGGGCAGAGCCUUUGCCCCAGAGAGCUGGUGGCUGAAGGUGCUGGAGCCACCCUUGAGAGCUGCACCAUGCAGCACUGCAGCGGGGCUGGACCCCCUCCACAGCCAGACCUCCCGUGGCCAUCCAUAAUGAUGUGUGGAGGGGAAAACAGGGAUGUAACAGGCAUGAACAGCCCCUCCUCUGCAAACCCCAUCGCCCACCCCACACUGGUCCCAUGCACACACCCUCCCCACCCAUGCUCUCAUGGGUCAGCCCCGCGAGCCAGCCCAGCUCUAGAGAGGUAACCUGGCAGAUGCCCUGCACCCCUCGAUAGGAAAGCCCCCCUCGCAGCGGCAGCCGUAGCUCACAGCCUUGUG